AAACAAGCCAAACACCUUAGAUUAACGAGCCACAUUGGUAUUAUGGUCUCCAUUGUGCUUACUAUAUAAACAACAAUCCUUUGUUAUGGUUAGCCAUGCCUUCAAAAACACUUAACCAUUUCAUUUGUCUGUAUUCAUUUGUCUAAGUAAGUUUUGGUCCAUAACUUUCUGAGAAUGUCGAGUUCGGACAAUUUCAUCAUGUUUGCCAGGGACCAAGAAGCACUAAUCAGAUGAAAGGACAAUUCGACCCCAGAGGUGUGCAAGGCUGUGAGAUAUGACUUGGCGAAGCUUAGGACAUUCCAAAUGGAAUAUGACAUUGCUGUUGACUAUAUACUAAGGAGAGUACAAGUGUACUAGGCUUGGAUCCAGUUUAGCUGGAAGAGCUCCUUGGUACAUAGAUUAACAGACACCGAGACACAACAAUUUAAAUUGGAACACAGUUCAUUGAAUUUGUUUUUGCCAAGACAUUGCAGCA